GAUGGCGACCGGCAAGCGGGUGCGGAACACGUACAGAACCUUCCUUCGAGCGGGGAAUAGCCCAGAGAAAUUUGGAUUAAUACCCCAUAGAACUAUGAAGUGGCAUCACUUUAUACUUAAAGAUUUAUCACUUGAAGAUGGCUGUGCGGCUGAUUAGGUAGUUGGCGGGGUAACGGCCCACCAAGCCUGCGAUCAGUAACUGGUGUGAGAGCACGACCAGUCACACGGGCACUGAGACACGGGCCCGACUCCUACGGGAGGCAGCAGUAAGGAAUAUUGGUCAAUGGACGAAAGUCUGAACCAGCCAUGCCGCGUGGAGGAUGAAGGCCCUCUGGGUUGUAAACUUCUUUUAUAUGGGACGAAAAAGGGUCUUUCUAGAUCAACUGACGGUACCAUGUGAAUAAGCACCGGCUAACUCCGUGCCAGCAGCCGCGGUAAUACGGAGGGUGCAAGCGUUAUCCGGAUUCACUGGGUUUAAAGGGUGCGUAGGUGGGUUGGUAAGUCAGUGGUGAAAUCUCCAAGCUUAACUUGGAAACUGCCAUUGAUACUAUCAGGUCUUGAAUCA
rnacentral:rRNA from 1 species